rnacentral:rRNA from 1 species
UACGUAGGUGGCAAGCGUUGUCCGGAAUUAUUGGGCGUAAAGCGCGCGCAGGCGGUUUCUUAAGUCUGAUGUGAAAGCCCACGGCUCAACCGUGGAGGGUCAUUGGAAACUGGGGAACUUGAGUGCAGAAGAGAAGAGCGGAAUUCCACGUGUAGCGGUGAAAUGCGUAGAGAUGUGGAGGAACACCAGUGGCGAAGGCGGCUCUUUGGUCUGUAACUGACGCUGAGGCACGAAAGCGUGGGGAGCAAACAGG